rnacentral:rRNA from 3 species
AAAUUGAAGAGUUUGAUCAUGGCUCAGAUUGAACGCUGGCGGCAGGCCUAACACAUGCAAGUCGAACGGUAACAGGAAGCAGCUUGCUGCUUUGCUGACGAGUGGCGGACGGGUGAGUAAUGUCUGGGAAACUGCCUGAUGGAGGGGGAUAACUACUGGAAACGGUGGCUAAUACCGCAUAACGUCGCAAGACCAAAGAGGGGGACCUUCGGGCCUCUUGCCAUCAGAUGUGCCCAGAUGGGAUUAGCUUGUUGGUGAGGUAACGGCUCACCAAGGCGACGAUCCCUAGCUGGUCUGAGAGGAUGACCAGCCACACUGGAACUGAGACACGGUCCAGACUCCUACGGGAGGCAGCAGUGGGGAAUAUUGCACAAUGGGCGCAAGCCUGAUGCAGCCAUGCCGCGUGUAUGAAGAAGGCCUUCGGGUUGUAAAGUACUUUCAGCGGGGAGGAAGGUGUUGUGGUUAAUAACCGCAGCAAUUGACGUUACCCGCAGAAGAAGCACCGGCUAACUCCGUGCCAGCAGCCGCGGUAAUACGGAGGGUGCAAGCGUUAAUCGGAAUUACUGGGCGUAAAGCGCACGCAGGCGGUCUGUCAAGUCGGAUGUGAAAUCCCCGGGCUCAACCUGGGAACUGCAUUCGAAACUGGCAGGCUUGAGUCUUGUAGAGGGGGGUAGAAUUCCAGGUGUAGCGGUGAAAUGCGUAGAGAUCUGGAGGAAUACCGGUGGCGAAGGCGGCCCCCUGGACAAAGACUGACGCUCAGGUGCGAAAGCGUGGGGAGCAAACAGGAUUAGAUACCCUGGUAGUCCACGCCGUAAACGAUGUCUACUUGGAGGUUGUGCCCUUGAGGCGUGGCUUCCGGAGCUAACGCGUUAAGUAGACCGCCUGGGGAGUACGGCCGCAAGGUUAAAACUCAAAUGAAUUGACGGGGGCCCGCACAAGCGGUGGAGCAUGUGGUUUAAUUCGAUGCAACGCGAAGAACCUUACCUGGUCUUGACAUCCACAGAAGAAUCCAGAGAUGGAUUUGUGCCUUCGGGAACUGUGAGACAGGUGCUGCAUGGCUGUCGUCAGCUCGUGUUGUGAAAUGUUGGGUUAAGUCCCGCAACGAGCGCAACCCUUAUCCUUUGUUGCCAGCGGUUAGGCCGGGAACUCAAAGGAGACUGCCAGUGAUAAACUGGAGGAAGGUGGGGAUGACGUCAAGUCAUCAUGGCCCUUACGACCAGGGCUACACACGUGCUACAAUGGCGCAUACAAAGAGAAGCGACCUCGCGAGAGCAAGCGGACCUCAUAAAGUGCGUCGUAGUCCGGAUUGGAGUCUGCAACUCGACUCCAUGAAGUCGGAAUCGCUAGUAAUCGUGGAUCAGAAUGCCACGGUGAAUACGUUCCCGGGCCUUGUACACACCGCCCGUCACACCAUGGGAGUGGGUUGCAAAAGAAGUAGGUAGCUUAACCUUCGGGAGGGCGCUUACCACUUUGUGAUUCAUGACUGGGGUGAAGUCGUAACAAGGUAACCGUAGGGGAACCUGCGGUUGGAUCACCUCCUUACCUU